rnacentral:rRNA from 1 species
AGUGAACGCUGGCGGUAGGCCUAACACAUGCAAGUCGGACGGCAGCACAGUAAGAGCUUGCUCUUACGGGUGGCGAGUGGCGGACGGGUGAGGAAUACAUCGGAAUCUACUUUUUCGUGGGGGAUAACGUAGGGAAACUUACGCUAAUACCGCAUACGACCUACGGGUGAAAGCAGGGGAUCUUCGGACCUUGCGCGAUUGAAUGAGCCGAUGUCGGAUUAGCUAGUUGGCGGGGUAAAGGCCCACCAAGGCGACGAUCCGUAGCUGGUCUGAGAGGAUGAUCAGCCACACUGGAACUGAGACACGGUCCAGACUCCUACGGGAGGCAGCAGUGGGGAAUAUUGGACAAUGGGCGCAAGCCUGAUCCAGCCAUACCGCGUGGGUGAAGAAGGCCUUCGGGUUGUAAAGCCCUUUUGUUGGGAAGGAAAAGCAGCAGGUUAAUACCCCGCUGUUCUGACGGUACCCAAAGAAUAAGCACCGGCUAACUUCGUG